rfam:Nicotiana attenuata strain TT chromosome 7, whole genome shotgun sequence.
GGAUGCGAUCAUACCAGCACUAACGCACCAGAUCCCAUCAGAACUCCGAAGCUAAGCGCGCUUGGGCGAGAGUAGUACUAGGAUGGGUGACCCCCUGGGAAGUCCUCGUGUUGCAUCCC